AUGACGCUAUGAGCUGGCGAUGCGCCUACACAUGCAAGUCGAGCGGUAACAGAAAGUAGCUUGCUACUUUGCUGACGAGCGGCGGACGGGUGAGUAAUGCUUGGGAACAUGCCUUGAGGUGGGGGACAACAGUUGGAAACGACUGCUAAUACCGCAUAAUGUCUACGGACCAAAGGGGGCUUCGGCUCUCGCCUUUAGAUUGGCCCAAGUGGGAUUAGCUAGUUGGUGAGGUAAUGGCUCACCAAGGCGACGAUCCCUAGCUGGUUUGAGAGGAUGAUCAGCCACACUGGGACUGAGACACGGCCCAGACUCCUACGGGAGGCAGCAGUGGGGAAUAUUGCACAAUGGGCGCAAGCCUGAUGCAGCCAUGCCGCGUGUGUGAAGAAGGCCUUCGGGUUGUAAAGCACUUUCAGUCAGGAGGAAAGGUUAGUAGUUAAUACCUGCUAGCUGUGACGUUACUGACAGAAGAAGCACCGGCUAACUCCGUGCCAGCAGCCGCGGUAAUACGGAGGGUGCGAGCGUUAAUCGGAAUUACUGGGCGUAAAGCGUACGCAGGCGGUUUGUUAAGCGAGAUGUGAAAGCCCCGGGCUCAACCUGGGAA
rnacentral:rRNA from 1 species